rnacentral:rRNA from 1 species
AGAGAGAGACAUGCGUGCAUAUCAAUAAGCGGAGGAAAAGAAACUAACUAGGAUUCCCUCAGUAACGGCGAGUGAAGCGGGAAGAGCUCAAAUUUGAAAUCUUCAAGGUUCUACCUUGACGAAUUGUAGUUUAAAGAAGUGUCUUCUGUUGAGGUUUUGGUAAAAGUUCUUUGGAAUAGGACAUCAUAGAGGGUGAGAAUCCCGUAUUUGACCAUUACUUUCCAGCUUUGUGAUACACUUUCAAAGAGUCGGAUUGUUUGGGAAUGCAGUCCAAAAUGGGUGGUAAAUUUCAUCUAAAGCUAAAUAUUGGCGAGAGACCGAUAGCGAACAAGUACCGUGAGGGAAAGAUGAAAAGAACUUUGAAAAGAGAGUUAAACAGUACGUGAAAUUGUCAAAAGGGAAGCGUUUGACACCAGUGUUGUUUUCUCGAAAAUCAAUUAAAAAAGGCAGGAUUUUGUGUUGUAUUGACUUUAUCAGCUUUCUGCACUCUUUUCUUAUCUUUUUUAAUGCACUUUUCGUUUAACAAGUCAACAUCAAUUUCUUUUGUUGUAAAAGGGUCAUUGGAAGGUGGCUUUCUUUUCGGAGAAAGUGUUUAUAGCCUUUGGCCUCUGCAAUCGGAGAGAUUGAGGUCUGCAGCGUAGAUCCUUCGGGGUUAGAUACAUUUGUGCUAAGUUAUAGCCUUUCAUAGACAACUUGUUGACUAUGAUCAGUCAUGUAGCUUACUCGCUUAUGCUAUUUUACCUACGCUUAGGAUGUUGAUGUGAUACUGCGAGCA